AUCCAGCUAACGAGUCCCAAAUAGGAUGAAGCGCACGUUCUAGAU
rfam:Schistosoma rodhaini strain Burundi genome assembly, scaffold: SROB_scaffold0009839